rnacentral:piRNA from 1 species
AGGGCUCGUCGCCAGUCUCAUUGAGAAGGC